rnacentral:lncRNA from 1 species
CAAUCAUCGAGUGGGAGUAGCCCAGGAGAAGUGUGGCCUCAGCAUGAACUUGGUAGUGGAUCCAGUGGGGCAGCUGCUGAGGCCGAAGGUCAACUAUGUUCUUGCAGCAGGAGAUCUGAGUCGGGCAUUUCCAUGGAUGAUGCAGAGGGUAGCACGCCAGCUCCACGCACAGCCCAUGCUUACCACAACCCUUUCACUUCCCACUGGACAAUCCCAUACUGUAGGCUGUACAUCUUAUUAUCAUGUCAGUCUAUGCCACCAUAGCAAUUUCAGGAUCUAAUGAUGGCCAGUUUACCUGGAUUACAUUGCAGGCCACUCUCUGCCUUGUCGGGGUGCUCUGUAUUGACUGAGGACCAUUGGGUCCCUCAGAUUGUCUCUUGGGGAGUAAGAACGUGAGAAGCCUGAGAGAAGCUGGAUCCUUACAGCUAUUGUUGUAGCCUAAAGGAUGGGGUCAUUGCUGUGGCUCUUUAUGAUGCCACCUGGGCUUCCCAGUCUGGGAACCAUCAGAAUGCAGGUCAUGGGAGAUGACUGGGCUGUUUUCCAACAUCUCCUUACUUCUUGCCUGAUAAUAAACCCCUAAGGUAGUCUGGAU